UAGGGAAUCUUCGGCAAUGGACGAAAGUCUGACCGAGCAACGCCGCGUGAGUGAAGAAGGUUUUCGGAUCGUAAAACUCUGUUGUUAGAGAAGAACAAGGACGUUAGUAACUGAACGUCCCCUGACGGUAUCUAACCAGAAAGCCACGUCUAACUACGUGCCAGCAGCCGCGGUGAUACGUAGGUGGCAAGCGUGGUCCGGAUUUAUUGGGCGUAAAGCGAGCGCAGGCGGUUUCUUAAGUCUGAUGUGAAAGCCCCCGGCUCAACCGGGGAGGGUGAUUGGAAACUGGGAGACUUGAGUGGAGAAGAGGAGAGUGGAAUUCCAUGUGUAGAGGUGAAAUGCGUAGCUAUAUGGAGGAACACCAGUGGGGAAGGCGGCGCUCUGGUCUGUAACUGACGCUGAGGCUCGAAAGCGUGGGGAGCAAACAGG
rnacentral:rRNA from 1 species